CCUCAUUUAGCAAUGGCUAAAUGGCUACUUACUUUUCUUUGUCUUGGUUUUUGGUGCAAACGGAAAAAGAUCCCCAUUGUAUGGUGGAACCGAUGGGAAAAGUUUCAGUGACGGGCAGUCUCAGGGUAUUGUGAGAGUCAAGAUCUGGUCUGAGUAUAUUGUGGAUGGGAUACAGGUUCAAUCAGAUCAAGGGGGAGAACAUGUUUGGUCUGAUCCUCAUGGCACUUCAAGGGGGGAAGCCAAAGAGGUGGUUUUAGCUUAUCCGGAUGAAUACAUCUACAAGAUUUCAGGGCGCACUGGACCAAAUCCAUGGACUUCUAAUGGCUUGAGUAGGCUUUACUUGCACGUCAACGAUAGAAGGACCAAUGCCCAAACUACCUUUGGCCCAUUUGGUACCCACGACUACUCCAAUCAGACUAAAUUUGAUUCCCCAGAAGGGACAGUGGUUGGAUUUUUUGGUUAUGCCUCUUCAACAACAUACUUCCGAGGAAUUGGCGUCUAUUUCCAAGAUCCUUGUGACUGUCCAACACCAUCACCACCUCCU